UAGUAACUAAUCUUUAUACUAAAUAAGGAAAAGGCAGUUCUGAAGUUUUCUGUACAUAAUUUACUUUGUAAAAACGUGUAUAUGUAUAUAUCCACAUACACACACACACACACACACACACAAAGCUAUGUGUAUAAUACAUUCUUCCAAAAUUGAUGAAUAAUAAAGCUAGAUAUAUUCACCCACAUGUUAGAGUUAGUGUUCUAAGAUCUUUAGUUACUUUCAAAUUCGUAGAUACUCUGGCCCUGUGUUCUCUUAAAUGGAGCUUUGGCUCCAUCUUGGAGCUGACGUACAAUAUUUCUGAAUAUUUCAUUUAUUAGAAAAACUAAGUUCAGAAAAUUGUCAUUUAUUAUUAGAAUUUAUUUUCUUUAUAAAAAAAAAGCCAACAACAAGAGACUUUUGCAUGGAGGCUUCAAGAAAUAUUUACUUAAGCUCCAGUGAAAUUGUGCUGAUUUAGACAAAGAUUCCAGUGCCUGCCCUCCUCUUGUUCCAAGGAAUUUGCUGUGAGAAUUCUUACUACAUCUAUAAUGUAUUUGGAAUUCUUGGGAGAAAUUUAGUAUUUUAAAUAAUGAAAUUAUUGUAUAUAACUGAAUAUACACAGAUUUUUUUAAAGAAUACAUUUGAUGAAAAAUUCAGCAUCAUAUUGGUCUUUUUGUAAGUGUACGUGAUACACCUGAAGAAGAUGAUAAUUCUCUAGUUUUUUAAGGUAGGUUAUUUUAACUUGUAUUUUUGUUUUAGCUUUUAAAGUUAUAUUCUUUUAAAAGUAUUUAUCAUAUUUCCAUCUUGUUACUUUGAAUCCUGGAGUGGCUGUUGAAAAACACAAAAAGUCACACAUCCUUGGGGAACUAAAAAAUGAAAGAAUGGCUGGGUGUUGUCGGCACAUGCCUUUAAUCCCAGCACUUGGGAAGCAGAGGCGGGUGGAUCUCUUUGAGUUCAAGACCAGCCUGGUCUACAGAUUGAGUUCUGGGAUAGCCAGAGGUGUUAUACAGAGAAACCCAGUCUUUGGAGGGAAAAAGAGAGAAUGAUGCUCUCUUUUUUAAGAUAAGCACAAUUGGCUUGUAACACUUGGGCAAAACACUACAAGAAUGUCUUAAAAAUAGUCCUGUGUGAUAAAAGUAAAAAUACUUGUACUGCUUCUGGUGACUAAGAGCCUACUUCCGACUAUGAUUUUGAUAAUAUUUAAUCUCCCUUUACCUUCUACAUGUUAAGUAGGGCUAAGGUAAUGCUUGUCUUCAGCGUCAACUCUAAGGAGAAACUGGCUGUGCUGUGGUAAUAAGACUGAGAUUGCUUAUUAAAUGUGUUCUCUUA
rnacentral:lncRNA from 1 species